GGAGAGAUGUCCGAGCGGUUGAAGGAGCACGACUGGAAAUCGUGUAUGCGUUUAAUCGACGCAUCGAGGGUUCGAACCCCUCUCUCUCCG
rnacentral:tRNA from 1 species